rnacentral:sRNA from 1 species
AAAGGUCACUCAACCGUUUGUAAUCUAUCCAUUCUGUCAUCUGUUGAAGAUAAAUUUCAUCAAAAUUAGCGAUAAUGUGAAGGAACUGUAUGUCUGAGGAGGGGUCUAGGUAAGAUCGUUUUCACGAUGCAUUCAGAAUUCUUCAGAUCGAGAAGAAAGCGGGUAAAGAAUGUAAAAUAUGUGGAUAGUUCACCUGGUUUUGCAGCGUUUAAGAUUUUUAAAUUAUUGAUCCCCCACACCCCUGAAACACCGGAUCCCGCACGUCAAGGAAGUGAUAGAGCUAGGAUUCAUGUGAAAGACUAGCUGAUUUUUCCCAAAUAAUAAAAAAAUUAAAUCUUGAUUGAUCUGGGUUGGGAAAACUGACAUGUCUCCAUGCAAGAUACCCCCCCCCCUAAAUUAAUGAAUUUCAGCACAAAAACAACUCACUCUCUGACUUUGGC